CACAAAGUAGUCUUAAAGUAAAACCCAUAAAACAGUUCAAGAUGACAUACUUUUUAUUUGCUAAUAUAAUGCCAGUUGCCCUCUUUCCUGAGUAUAAGCGAAUGAGUGACAUAAAGAGAAAAAGUACCAAUUUGUAUGCUGAUGAGUCUUGUGUGUUUUUUUCUCUGUCUCGCUAUGACAGAGAAAUGUAUAUGCUCAAUAUUGCUGUUUAAACUGAUGCUCAAAUUUCCAAGCACCACCUGAACGCCUCAUCGGUCUUUAACUACUCACUGCACCAACUGUCGUCAUUCCGCUUUGCUCUCUGCUGUGGAACUUGACUCGCAUCUGUGCUUUGCCUGUGUGCAGAAGAAGAACAAGGACCAGAUCUCCAGUCUUCUCUCUCACAUCCCAACCCCCCAACCCCUCUAUCCUCUGUACUGCUCCACCUGUUGUCUCUGCCUUCUUUCCAUCUGUAUUUCACCCUGUGGUUUGUGAGAAAUUUUGCCAAACCAAGAAUCUUAUUGCGGUUUGAUUUCAAAACCGUGUCUCUCCUGCUCUGUCUGUUCUCUCUGCUAAAUUUUCUCUCUACCUGUUUUUCACUCUUUGGCUUGCUGCUGAGAAAUGCACAAGCCAAUAAAGCAAUAAAGAGUGCAUAUUUUGCCUCAACC